AAUAUCUGUUUCUUACCAGCCAUUUCUGCUCCUUAGCUGGCACAGACGCGUGGAUUUUAACUGUAAUAUUUUCAUGUUCAGAAAAUCUGUGGCCAAGGAUGAGAAUUUUGAUUGUGCAAAAGAAAUUAGGAGUAAAGGGAAUUCCAUUUUUAAGAUGAAAGGAGGAACUGUUAAAAUGGUGGUCCUUACUGAUUUAAAUACUCCUGUUCUUAUUUCUGCAAAACUUGUGAUCAAAUGCUUUGGGGAAGAGUCUGGGGCUGGAAGAGCUUGACCUUUAAUGCAUAUGUAAAUAUGACUUUCAGUUGUGUAUAAUCUCUCCCAUACAACAGAUCUGUGGGUGUCCAUAGGGACAGAAAGAUCCUAUGAGUCUUUAUUAUAUAUCACAAAAAAUCACAAAUUAUUCCUGUCAGUGUGCAGAGUGCUGCUAAUGAACAAAUUUCAUUCCUGAAGUAGUAUCUGUGAUGGAUGUGAGGUUGUAAGAAGUACAGUAAGUAAAGUAAAACAAGGUUAAUCUAAUCUCCAUAAAGCUGACAGGAAAAGAAACCAUGUAUUUAAAGUGAAAGUAGACAAAGUAGGUAACAGGCCUCUCUUGUAUUUCACUCAUUCAUUUGUUAAUUCCGAAGUUUCUUCUUGAAUUUUAUGAGACAAAGCAAUAUUAUGAGCUAAAGUUCAAUGUAAACCAAAGCCUGAUGUAACAUGGAAAAGAGAAAGUGGGUACCAGUGGAAUGUAUUUUAAGAAGUAUGUGCCAAGGUAACACACCUUUUAUUCUUGCCAUUAGCUCUUUCUUUUUUUUUUCUUUUUUUAUUCCCACAAUAAAAACUGUAAAAAAGAAAAAAUACAUUAUUCCUCAGCAGUAAUAAAAAUGUCCCUGUUUUCAGUCAGUCUACUGCAAUAAUUCUACUUUAAAAUAAUAUUUUCAAAUACUUUUUUGUUUCCAAUCUGAAUGCUGUUUCUGAGAUGAUACAAAUAACUACAAGUGUGUUGUGUCCACUGAUGCCAUCUACACUGUCCCCUUGAUCAUAACUAAAGGUGGGUCCCUAACUCCUGGUAGAACUGAAACCACUGAAAGACAGCAGCGUUUGAAAUCCCCCUGCCAAACAA